UACGACGGGGGCUAGCGUUGUUCGGAAUCACUGGGCGUAAAGCGCACGUAGGCGGAUCUUUAAGUCAGGGGUGAAAUCCCGAGGCUCAACCUCGGAACUGCCUUUGAUACUGGGGAUCUCGAGUCCGGGAGAGGUGAGUGGAACUGCGAGUGUAGAGGUGAAAUUCGUAGAUAUUCGCAAGAACACCAGUGGCGAAGGCGGCUCACUGGCCCGGAACUGACGCUGAGGUGCGAAAGCGUGGGGAGCAAACAGG
rnacentral:rRNA from 1 species